GUGGAUUAGAUACCCUGGUAGUCCAUGCCGUAAACGAUGGGUGCUAGGUGUCGCGGGCAUUGACCCCUGCGGUGCCGAAGCUAACGCAUUAAGCACCCCGCCUGGGGAGUACGGCCGCAAGGCUAAAACUCAAAGGAAUUGACGGGGGCCCGCACAAGCGGUGGAGCAUGUGGUUUAAUUCGAUGCAACGCGAAGAACCUUACCUGGGCUAGAAAACGCGAGAGCCUGGCGGAAACGUCGGGGUGCCCUUCGGGGAACUCGUGGUUAGGUGCUGCAUGGCUGUCGUCAACU
rnacentral:rRNA from 1 species